rnacentral:rRNA from 1 species
CCCUUAGAUGUCCUGGGCCGCACGCGCGCUACACUGAUGCAUUCAACGAGUAUUUCCUUGGCCGGGAGGCCUGGGCAAUCUUUUAAACCUGCAUCGUGAUAGGGAUAGAUUAUUGCAAUUAUUAAUCUUGAACGAGGAAUUCCUAGUAAACGCAAAUCAUCAAUUUGCAUUGAUUACGUCCCUGCCCUUUGUACACACCGCCCGUCGCACCUACCGAUUGAAUGGUCCGGUGAAAUCUCGGGAUUGUGGCCAGUUCACUUUAUUGGGAGUUGGCUGCGAGAACUUGCUUAAACCUUAUCAUUUAGAGGAAGGUGAAGUCGUAACA